rnacentral:rRNA from 1 species
AUUGAACGCUGGCGGCAUGCCUUACACAUGCAAGUCGAACGGCAGCACGGGAGCAAUCCUGGUGGCGAGUGGCGAACGGGUGAGUAAUAUAUCGGAACGUGCCCGGUCGUGGGGGAUAACGUAGCGAAAGCUACGCUAAUACCGCAUACGAUCUACGGAUGAAAGCGGGGGAUCGCAAGACCUCGCGCGAUUGGAGCGGCCGAUAUCAGAUUAGGUAGUUGGUGAGGUAAAAGGCUCACCAAGCCGACGAUCUGUAGCUGGUCUGAGAGGACGACCAGCCACACUGGGACUGAGACACGGCCCAGAC